rnacentral:miRNA from 1 species
UCUCCUGUUCUCUGUUCUCCC